AGUGAACGCUGGCGGUAGGCCUAACACAUGCAAGUCGAACGGCAGCACAGUAAGAGCUUGCUCUUACGGGUGGCGAGUGGCGGACGGGUGAGGAAUACAUCGGAAUCUACUUUUUCGUGGGGGAUAACGUAGGGAAACUUACGCUAAUACCGCAUACGACCUACGGGUGAAAGCAGGGGAUCUUCGGACCUUGCGCGAUUGAAUGAGCCGAUGUCGGAUUAGCUAGUUGGCGGGGUAAAGGCCCACCAAGGCGACGAUCCGUAGCUGGUCUGAGAGGAUGAUCAGCCACACUGGAACUGAGACACGGUCCAGACUCCUACGGGAGGCAGCAGCGGGGAAUAUUGGACAAUGGGCGCAAGCCUGAUCCAGCCAUACCGCGUGGGUGAAGAAGGCCUUCGGGUUGUAAAGCCCUCUUGUUGGGAAAGAAAAGCAGCAGGUUAAUACCCCGCUGUUCUGACGGUACCCAAAGAAUAAGCACCGGCUAACUUCGUG
rnacentral:rRNA from 1 species